rfam:Eucalyptus grandis cultivar BRASTZ1 unplaced genomic scaffold scaffold_7, whole genome shotgun sequence.
GCCUCUUGUGAUGAAUGUAGAAAUACUUUCGUUCUUCCGAGAUGUUUCAUGCGGAAAUAUAUUGGAGACCUGAACUGAAGAGGC